AAAAGUAAAAAACAAAAAAUAACUACAUUUCAUAAUUGUUACUGUUUGUCUCAUAGAGAUCGGUCAUCAAAGAGAGACUGAGAAGCCGAGCAAAAAUAUCAACAAAUAUCAGGAACAUUUCAGAAAAGGACAGCUUUCCAAAAUUUCUCACCCAUCUACUUUUUACACUGGACCUGCACUGUGUGACUUCUGGCUCAUUCACCAAGUCCAAACAGCCAGGAAAGAUAGACAUCUAUAAUCAGUUCCAGAAUCUGAAGCAGUCACAGCAAUGCAGCGGAAGAUGCUCAGGAAAGAGGGCUUCUGGGACUGCUUCAGAAAGUGGGUGGAAUAGCGGGGUAAGGGUGACGUAAUUCUAAGCAAUGAAUUUUCACUGUGACAUUUCAAAGAUGAAAUGUCCAUGGUAUAUUCUGAUCAUACCUCAUACCUGUCUUCAGAGAAAGCCACUCAGAUGUGUACACUCAGAUACAUGCUGGGGAUGAGUGUGUCUGUGUCUGCAUCUGUAAAGUAAGUUAAUUUGAGUGGAUUUUUCUCAGCUCUGACAU
rnacentral:lncRNA from 1 species